AUUUUUGAAAUUCUGGAAUACUUCACAGAUAUAAAUUUACUUUAACAAUAUAAAGUCAACAUUCCUGUAAGUACAAUGUAGCAAUACUGCUAAAACAAUAUAAUAUCAAAAUCUUGUAUAUCAUAAUUCAUCAAAAUGACAAUGUAACAGUACUAAACAAAUUAUAAUAGCUCUGCCUGUGAUAUAUAUAUAAUAUACCUAUAACAUAUAAUAUACAAGAUUAUAAUAUCAACCAUAAUUUAAGUAUUCAACAUUGGCGAUACAAUACUAUAUUAUCAAAAGCACUUUAUACUGGAUCAUAAUAACACUAAGCAGUUAUGCCAGUACAGGAAAGAUACAAGAAGCUCAGGACAGCGAUAUAUACAGAAAAUGUACAUCAGACGCAGGUCAAAUCCUCAUCAACCAAGGAUACAAGUACCACCGGACAACCAAGGAUAUAAAGUAUCACCGGACAACCAAUGAUAUAAAGUACCACCCGACAACCAAGGAUAUAAAUAUCACCCGACAACCAAGGAAAUAAAUAUCACCGGACAACCAAGGAUAUAAAUAUCACCCGACAACCAAGGAUAUAAAGUACCACCCGACAACCAAGGAUAUAAAGUACCACCUGACAACCAAGGAUAUAAAGUACCACCUGACAACCAAGGAUAUAAAGUACCACUCGACAACCAAGGAUAUAAAGUACCACUCGACAACCAAGGAUAUAAAGUACCACCCGACAACCAAGGAUAUAAAGUACCACCCGACAACCAAGUAUAUAAAUAUCACCCGACAACCAAGGAUAUAAAUUAGCACCCGACAACCAGGGAUAUAAAGUAUCACCCGACAACCAAGGAUAUAAAUAUCACCCGACAACCAAGGAUAUAAAUAUCACCCGACAACCAAGGAUAUAAAUAUCACCCGACAACCAAGGAUAUAAAUAUCACCCGACAACCAAGGAUAUAAAGUAUCACCCGACAACCAAGGAUAUAAAGUACCACCCGACAACCAAGGAUAUAAAUAUCACCCGACAACCAAGGAUAUAAAGUACCACCCGACAACCAAGGAUAUAAAGUACCACCGGACAACCAAGGAUAUAAAGUAUCACCCGACAACCAAGGAUAUAAAUAUCACCGGACAACCAAGGAUAUAAAGUACCACCCGACAACCAAGGAUAUAAAGUACCACCCGACAACCAAGGAUAUAAAGUACCACCCGACAACCAAGGAUAUAAAUAUCACCCGACAACCAAGGAUAUAAAUAUCACUGGACAACCAAGGAUAUAAAUAUCACCCGACAACCAAGUAUAUAAAGUACCACCCGACAACCAAGGAUAUAAAGUACCACCGGACAACCAAGGAUAUAAAGUACCACCCGACAACCAAGGAUAUAAAUAUCACCCGACAACCAAGGAUAUAAAGUACCACCCGACAACCAAGGAUAUAAAGUACCACCCGACAACCAAGGAUAUAAAUAUCACCCGACAACCAAGGGUAUAAAUAUCACCGGACAACCAAGGAUAUAAAUAUCACCGGACAACCAAGGAUAUAAAGUACCACCCGACAACCAAGGAUAUAAAUAUCACCCGACAACCAAGGAUAUAAAGUACCACCCGACAACCAAGGAUAUAAAGUACCACCGGACAACCAAGGAUAUAAAGUACCACCCAACAACCAAGUAUAUAAAGUACCAUCCGACAACCAAGGAUAUAAAGUACCACCGGACAACCAAGGAUAUAAAUAUCACCCGACAACCAAGGAUAUAAAGUGCCACCCGACAACCAAGGAUAUAAAGUAUCACCCGACAACCAAGGAUAUAAAUAUCACCCGACAACCAAGGAUAUAAAUAUCACCCGACAACCAAGGAUAUAAAUACCACCAGACAACCAAGGAUAUAAAGUACCACCCGACAACCAAGGAUAUAAAGUAUCACCCGACAACCAAGGAUAUAAAGUACCACCCGACAACCAAGGAUAUAAAGUACCACCCGACAACCAAGGAUAUAAAGUACCACCCGACAACCAAGGAUAUAAAGUACCACCCGACAACCAAG